AACGAACGCUGGCGGCAGGCCUAACACAUGCAAGUCGAACGCCCUAGCAAUAGGGAGUGGCAGACGGGUGAGUAACACGUGGGAACCUUCCCUAUAGUACGGAAUAGCCCAGGGAAACUUGGAGUAAUACCGUAUACGCCCGAAAGGGAAAGAUUUAUCGCUAUAGGAUGGGCCCGCGUAGGAUUAGCUAGUUGGUGAGGUAAUGGCUCACCAAGGCGACGAUCCUUAGCUGGUUUGAGAGAACGACCAGCCACACUGGGACUGAGACACGGCCCAGACUCCUACGGGAGGCAGCAGUGGGGAAUAUUGGGCAAUGGGCGCAAGCCUGAUCCAGCCAUGCCGCGUGAGUGAUGAAGGCCUUAGGGUUGUAGAGCUCUUUUGCCGGGACGAUAAUGACGGUACCCGGAGAAUAAGUCCCGG
rnacentral:rRNA from 1 species